CGCUGGCGGCGUGCCUAACACAUGCAAGUCGAGCGGGAGGAGAAAGCUUGCUUUUAAANCCCAGCGGCGGACGGGUGAGUAACGCGUGAGCAAUCUGCCUCAAACAGGGGGAUAACGCAUCGAAAGAUGUGCUAAUACCGCGUAAGACCACAGCACCGCAUGGUGCAGGGGUCAAAGGAGCAAUCCGGUUUGAGAUGAGCUCGCGUCCGAUUAGCUAGUUGGUGAGAUAACAGCCCACCAAGGCAACGAUCGGUAGCCGACCUGAGAGGACGAACAGCCACAUUGGAACUGAGACACGGUCCAGACUCCUACGGGAGGCAGCAGUGAGGAAUAUUGGGCAAUGGAGGCAACUCUGACCCAGCCAUGCCGCGUGAGUGAUGAAGGUUUUCGAAUUGUAAAGCUCUUUCGGAUGUGAAGAUGAUGACGGUAGCAUCUAAAGAAGCCCCGGCAAACUUCGUG
rnacentral:rRNA from 1 species